GAUGAACGCUGGCGGCGUGCCUAAUACAUGCAAGUCGAGCGAACGGACGAGAAGCUUGCUUCUCUGAUGUUAGCGGCGGACGGGUGAGUAACACGUGGAUAACCUACCUAUAAGACUGGGAUAACUUCGGGAAACCAUAGCUAAUACCGGAUAAUAUUUUGAACCGCAUUGUUCAAAAGUGAAAGACGGUCUUGCUGUCACUUAUAGAUGGAUCCGCGCUGCAUUAGCUAGUUGGUAAGGUAACGGCUUACCAAGGCAACGAUGCAUAGCCGACCUGAGAGGGUGAUCGGCCACACUGGAACUGAGACACGGUCCAGACUCCUACGGGAGGCAGCAGUAGGGAAUCUUCCGCAAUGGGCGAAAGCCUGACGGAGCAACGCCGCGUGAGUGAUGAAGGUCUUCGGAUCGUAAAACUCUGUUAUUAGGGAAGAACAUAUGUGUAAGUAACUGUGCACAUCUUGACGGUACCUAAUCAGAAAGCCACGGCUAACUACGUG
rnacentral:rRNA from 1 species